UACGUAGGGGGCAAGCGUUAUCCGGAUUUACUGGGUGUAAAGGGAGCGUAGACGGCUUUGCAAGCCAGAUGUGAAAGCCCGGGGCUCAACCCCGGGACUGCAUCUGGAACUGUAUGGCUGGAGUGUCGGAGAGGCAGGCGGAAUUCCUAGUGUAGCGGUGAAAUGCGUAGAUAUUAGGAGGAACACUAGUGGCGAAGGCGGCCUGCUGGACGAUGACUGACGUUGAGGCUCGAAAGCGUGGGGAGCAAACAGG
rnacentral:rRNA from 1 species